rnacentral:lncRNA from 1 species
CAGGGAGGGACAGGUCUCUGCUUUUGCUCCCCCCUUUCUUUCUGGCUCCCUCACCUGCCCUCCUCUGCCUUCUGGGCUCCAGGAGCAUCCUGGGGUGCUUACUAAAGGAAGCCGGGCAAGGAGGGAUUUGACCCAGUGACAUAAGCCUGCUGACAAGCUGCCAGUUCGGCCUACUGGAGAUGUAUGUAACUGAAAAGCCAGCGUCUCACUCAAACAAGGUCACCUCCAAGUACCGUGGAUGUCACCUGCGGGUCCGCCACUGACUGAGAACGGAGGGGGCCGGGAGAUUCGUGGUUUCCGCGGGGGACACGCAGAAGCUAAGAGGCGAGGGACAGAUGCGGACUGAGAAGGGAAACUGCGAGAAGGUGUAGAGCAGAAGGGGCGGGAGACAUCCCUGGGCAAGCGUGUCUCUGAGAGCUGGCUGUGGAGACGAAGCGGUCGAGGUCUGAGCGAGCCGCCUGGGUGGCACUGGGAGUCCAUUCCUCACACAUUGCCUUCCAUCUGCUUGCUAAGCACUGUCUUCACUCAACGACAAAAGGUCCCCCCCAAAUGAAGUGUCAGUCCCUUCAGGCAAGGACUGUGUUAUUUUGCUGCUGUCUUCAGCUUCACCCAAUACCAGGCCACACCCAAAGCCCACAUUUAAUAAGUGCUUGAUGGCUACUGACUUCUUUCACUUGAUGAUGAUGAAAGAAAAAAAAAAUACAGUGAACUGAUGAGCAUGUGGGCUCUCGGGUCAGUGUUGAGUUGGACGCCCGGCUCCUUUGCUCAUUAGCCAUUUCCCCUUGAGUAACUUUUCCAAAUUCUUGAUGCUUUCAGCUCCUCAUUCAUAAAAUAAGGACAGCAGAAUUGCCCAACUCGGUUCCUGCAAGGCUGAGUGAGCUAUUACAUGUGAAGCACUGAGUGAUGUGGCUGACAUGAAGUAAACAUUCAGUAUUACUCUAAUAUUUUAAUGACUGUUAUUAUUGCAAAUGAUGACAGGCUAUCUCCGGGCUUUGGGUUUCUCUGAGAUCCUCCAAGGGCGUCUGGGUCCUGGUCUUAACAGAACAACCUGAGAAAGACCCCCUCCUCCUACGGCACGCAAACUUCACGUGGCAGACAGAGGAUGAGAGCAGCCUCAAGUACUUUCCUUUUUGAAUGGGUGACAGGCUGGCAAGAUAAACUGGUUUUUAGCAAGGCAUUUUAUAUCAUCUCUCAUCUUACCCUUGUGGUUAACAACAAGAGAAACUGGGCCAGAAGCUAAGACCGCUAAAUGAUGCUAACUGGUUCAACAUCUAUAAGAGCCUUUCUCUUGCAGACUGUUUUCUAGAACCUUUGUUUGCAGAUUGUUUAUUGGGUGUUACAGAGAAAGCAGGGAGGACAACGUAAUGGUCAAAUAUCCUUGGAAAACUGUGCUUAACAAUCUGUCACUAGCUUUUUUUAAUACGCUCAUACGCAUCCUGAGUCUCCAAGAAAGGGUUAUGACAUACAGCCCUAUCCUCAUGUAUUGGAUUAUAGGGUUCUAUUCCUAGGACCAUCCUCAAGUCCCGUGUCCUUCAGAAUACACUCUGAGAAACAUCACUCAUGCCCAAAGGGUCUAUCAACCCAAUCCCAGCACAAGUGCCGUGGGUGGGGCAAGUUGAGACACUGGUGUGGACCUUAUUUGGCUCAACGUCAUUAAUUUGUUGGCAUGCUGAUCAGAUCUGAAGAUGACUCUACGCUGGACAGGAAGGCUGAUAGAGCAUUGGUAUCAUCAGGUCUAUGGGCUAACAAGACACUUCAAAGGGAUAAGUAUCAGGUCCUGCAUACAUGGUCCAAGAACAACACAAAGCACUGAGGAUCGUGUUGACUAUGAAGAGGCCUGAAGGCAGCCCGAACCCCCAGCAUAUGUAAUUUGUUGUUACAUGUAUCAACAAGUUAUUUUUUUUUAAAUCUGCAACAUCAACAUUCCAAAGCAAGUACACUAAGGUUUCCAAAGGAGAAAAACUUAGGAGCAAUCAAAGAAGUCUCAGGUCAAAUCAAGGAAAGAUGUCACACUCUUGGGCUAUCAGGUGACUCCUGGGGUUUAGCUUGUGCAUGGAUCUGAGGGCCCAAACUUAGAGGAACACAGACAAAUUAGAAAAUUUGGCAGGUGUCCCAGACCAAAUAUUUAAAAGAAAUAUUUACAACAGAGACAGACAGACAAGGAUACAGAGACGUGGAGGGUCUAGGCUUCCCAAGAGGAGAUCUGGGAGAGACACAGAAUUCCAUGAAGAAGGAAGCCGAUGCUCCUUAAUCUUCUAAAGCAAACAGACAUGCUUGAAAAAAGUGCUGAGAGCUAUGGAGGCUUUCCCGGGAAAACAUAUAUGCAAACAAAAUCCUGCAAAUAUUUUCAAGGGACUGCUGCUCUCCACCAGCCCCCAUCCUCACUGGAAAAGCUGAUCCAUGGACUUCCUCCAUCAAAGACCAAACCAGGUCACAGCCUCAGCAGGAUGAAGCAUCACCUGUUGGAAAGACACACGUUCCCCUCCUACACUGUGGCUGGAAAUGUCAACUGGUACAGCCACUAUGGAGAACAGCGUAGAGAUUGCCCAGAAAACUAAAAAUAGAGUUACCACACUAGCCAGCAAUUCCACUCCUGGGCAUGUAUGUAGAGAAGAUAAAAAACUCCAAUUUCAAAGCCUUCACACACCCCAGAGUUCAUGGCAGAGCUAUUUACUAUAGCCAAGACAUGCCAGAACCUAAAUGUCCAUGGACAGAUGAAUAGAUGAAGAAGAUGUGGUGUAGAUAUACAAUGGAAUACUACUCAGCCAUUAAAAAGAUGAAAUGAUGCCACUUGCAGAGAGAUGGAUGCAACUAGAGAUUAUAUUAAGUGACGUAAAUCAGAAAGCAGAGACAAAUAUCAUAUGAUGUCGCUUGUAUGUAGAAUCUAAAAUAUGAUGCAAAUGAACUUAUGAGCAAAACAGACAGACUCAUAGACACAGAGAAAAACUUAGGGUUACCCACUGCUUGAGUAAUUUCUCUUCUCCAAGGCUAUAGAUGGAAAACUAAGGGAAAGAAUGGAGUCAUUCCUGCUCAGUCUCUGACCCAGGUCCACGAAAAAGCAAGUUAAAAUAGUUAUAUGUGUGAUCACCUCCUUUAUUAAAAAUAAGGAUCUCUCGCAUGGGCCAUCAACACUGCUACAUAGGUUUUUUUUUUUUUUUUUUUUUUUAAUCCCUUAUCGUACUUAGUUUUCAUAAUACCCUGUAAGACAGCUUUUUUUUCUUUCAUUUCACAAGUGAUGAAUCCAAGCUCAGAGAGGGUAGGUGCCUUGCUCAAGGCCACACAGCCAGUUGAUGGGGGAGCUAGAACUCGAUACCGAAGUUCAAGUUCUUAACCACCAGGCACCUAUCUAUGACCUUUAGAGGAAAUACUGGCCUUUGGCUCUUUUCAACAAGCAGUCAAGGUGGCCCGAGGCAGUCAGGUUCCCAGGGAGCUCACCCACAUUUCCCAGAGCUGAAGCCAAGCUGCUGGCAGGGAGCUCCAGACACAGGUGCACUGGGGUCUCAGAUCUCAGCCCUCCACUCUCCUCUGUUCAUUACACAGCAAGACUUAGACGCCAUGCUUUCAAAUCUCGUCCCUUCAUUAUCUGUUCUGCAUCAGCCUCCUCCCCAUCCUGGACUGACUUGCUUUAUCGCCUGGCCUCUGUCUCAUCUCCGUUAGAUCUAGGUAUGUGAGCGAAGUAUACAGCUACCCAGUUCUGGCCAAAUGGAAUCGACCUGCCAUUUCUUCUCUGUAAUUUUGGGCACAGUCUGAGAGGAUUUAGAAGGUGUCAUUGACUUGGAAUGACAGUUCUUUGUUACAGAAUGAAUUUCCGACUCGGCUGAAGAGGCUAGCAUCCCCCAUCGCACUUACACAAGCAGCUUUGUUCCCCUUCCAAGCGUCCCUCUCAUUGUGCUGUGCACACUCACUCCGGGCUCCCCAGCUUCUCCAGGAAGGAAUCUUAUCAAAGAGAACCCAGACUUUCUCUAGCUCACCUCCCUUCUUGGCCUGCACUUGGAAAUUCAUCACGGCUGCGUAUUCCCCCUUCCUCCUCUGAUUCCGUUUUCAUUUCCUACAGCUAUUACACUCCUGUAGGCUUUUGUUUAUAUGCCCCAACUGGGUCCCUUAAGACACAGACCACCUCUUAGUGGCCUGUGUUUCCACGUAGCAGUCCAGCCCACUGCCUUGCCUGAGUUACACGGUCAAUGACCAUGGCAUUGACUGAACACGAACCGAAUUUUACAGAUUACUCAGCCCACGUGCGGCUACGACCAAAGGGAAGUCACUCUUCCAGAUACACAACUUCUGCGGAAGAGGGUCACGGCGGGGGGACAAAACAAACACAGCACAUUGAGACCGGGAAGCAGACGGGGCUGUGCAAAAAACCCUCACAUGGUGGUUUCAGCCUUAUAAUAGGUAACAAGAAAACCUGCUCCCAUGAGGGAAGACUAAGCCCCUGAGCCCCCUGGUACAGCUGGCAACACAAAAGUUCUUGAAGUCAAGGACCCCCAACCACCUGCUGAGACAAUUACCAAGCCCAAACCUCCCUUCUCAGUGGCUCUUGAUAGCGAGUGCUUUUGCUCCAACUCUCCAGACACCUGCAGAGAAUUCUGGGCAUCUUAAAACCAACUUGCUUGAGAAAAUGGGCCACACUGCAUUUUCUUAACAACAACAAUGACAAAUCAUCCUGGAUUACAGGCUAGAAAAAGCAUGGUUAUUUCCUCUAGUAAUAAGGAGGGGGAAGGGGGAGCUCAGUAAAUAAAACAUUUAAAAAUGUAUACAUUGGAAUUCCCGUUGUGGCACAGUGGAAACGAAUCCAACUAGGAACCAUGAGGUUGUGGGUUCGAUCCCUGGCCUCGCUCAGUGGGUUAAGGAUCUGGCGUUGCCGUGAGCUGUGGUGUAGGUUGCAUACUCGGCUCAGAUCUGGCAUUACUGUGGUUGUGGUGUAGGCUGGCAGUAAGAGCUCCAAUUGGACCCCUAGCCUGGAAACCUCUACAUGCCUUGGGUGUGGCCCUCAAAAGACAAAAGAAAAAAAAAAAAAGAAGUAUAUACUAGAUACUGACUCACUUUUUGAAAUAUUGUCAAAUUUCUUUCCUCUCCAAGAGUUACACUUUCUGGUCUAUUUUCCACUCAAUAGUUGUAGAGAGCCGACCAUGCUCUGUAGCUGCCUAGUCUGUGCACAGGCAAAAACACACCUGGGCUGUUAGCCUUUUCACACUCAGCUGCUUCAGUCCCACACGUUCUGCUCUAAUUAUCAGCUUUUGCAGAGAAUCCCUAACAGGGUCAGAGGAAGCCCCAGACCCCAAGGUGAGAAGGAAUGAUACAGGAACCAAGCACAGAUCUGGAGCAGAGCUCACUGGGUCACUCUGCAUGAUGACCUCACAGGGAAAAUGAGGCUGAAAAUACGUGCCAUCCUGGAGGACAAGGGCCUGACACUGGGACACAUGUCAUAUCUACAAAUACUUUUCAAGGAGUUCUCGUCGUGGCGCAGUGGUUAACGAAUCCGACUAGGAACCAUGAGGUUGCGGGUUCAUCCCUGCCCUUGCUCAGUGGGUUAACAAUCCGGCGUUGCCGUGAGCUGUGGUGUAGGUUGCAGACGCGGCUCGGAUCCAGCGUUGCUGUGGCUCUGGCGUAGGCCAGUGGCUACAGCUCCGAUUCGACCCCUAGCCUGGGAACCUCCAUAUGCCGUGGGAGCGGCCCAAAGAAAUAGCAAAAAGACAAAAAAAAAAAAAAAAAAAAAAAA